rnacentral:rRNA from 1 species
CCUCUUCGGAGGACUGUACAGAGGUGCUGCAUGGCUGUCGUCAGCUCGUGUCGUGAGAUGUUGGGUUAAGUCCCGCAACGAGCGCAACCCUUGUUCAUAGUUACUAACGCGUAAUGGCGAGAACUCUAUGGAGACUGCCGGUGAUAAACCGGAGGAAGGUGGGGAUGACGUCAAGUCCUCAUGGCCUUUAUGUCCAGGGCUACACACGUGCUACAAUGGACGGUACAGAGAGUCGCGAGACCGCAAGGUGGAGCUAAUCUCGGAAAGCCGUUCUCAGUUCGGAUUGGAGUCUGCAACUCGACUCCAUGAAGUUGGAAUCGCUAGUAAUCGCGGAUCAGCACGCCGCGGUGAAUACGUUCCCGGGCCUUGUACACACCGCCCGUCACAUCACGAAAGUCGGUUGCACUAGAAGUCGGUGGGCUAACCCGCAAGGGAGGCAGCCGCCUAAAGUGUGAUCGGUAAUUGGGGUGAAGUCGUAACAAGGUAGCUGUAGGAGAACC